UCCGAGCUAGUAUAUCGGCUAGUAUGGCCGCCUCUCAUCUUCUCACGAGCUGUGCGCGGCAGAGACGGGUUCGAUUCCCGUGUUCGGAA